rnacentral:misc_RNA from 1 species
GGUGAUCGGCGUGUGAGGGUAUGUUGGAUCCCUGCUUGGCAGCGACAGCAUCCCCGUCCAUGCCUUCUCAUUUAUUUGGCUCAAGUGCUUUUUUGCCUUGACCGCCUCGGGUUUCCUGUGUUGCAUACCAAUCUAGAAGGCAUGCAUUCGGUUAAAACGUCCCGUCUCCACUUAGUGCUGCUUUCCACGUGAUUGUGGCACGAGGUGGAACCAAAAAGCAGUUAGCGUGCGUCCACUUCCCUCCGUGCAUGCGUGCAGGGAUGUUGGCCCAUGCUGGCUUGCUCGAUCUCUCGGUUGCGGAACAUAAUAUGGGCAUGAGGCCCCUGAGUCUCUAUUUUGCCCCGAAAAUAAGCGUUCUACGCUUCGUGCGAACGACUGUUGUUCCCGUUUUGAUCUWGUSCUCGUGGCUCGAUCAUGCGGGCAACGUCGAUGAGGAA